UACGUAGGAGGCGAGCGUUGUCCGGAGUUACUGGGCGUAAAGGGUGCGCAGGCGGGCGCGUGCGGUUUGCGGUGAAAGCUCUCAGCUCAACUGGGAGAGGGCCGUGAAGACGGCGCGUCUUGAGGCUCGGAGAGGGACGUGGAAUUCCGGGUGGAGCGGUGAAAUGCGUAGAGAUCCGGAAGAACACCGACGGCGAAGGCAGCGUCCUGGCCGAGGCCUGACGCUCAGGCACGAAGGCGCGGGGAGCGAA
rnacentral:rRNA from 1 species